rfam:Anoxybacillus sp. B7M1, complete genome.
GGGGACGUUACGGAUUCGACAGGGAUAGAUCGAGCUUAAGCUGCGAGCCGAGGGGAUCGUCCUCGUAAAAACGUCACCUAAAUAUAACUGGCAAAGAAAAUUACGCUUUAGCUGCUUAAUAAUUGCGGCUAACUCCUCCCGCCAUCGCCCAUGUGGUCGGGUCAGGGGUUCAUCAUGAGUGGGAUACGCCCAAGUCCACCGUCUGAGGACGCGGGAAGAGACGAAUCAGACUAGCUGCUUGGAGGCCUGUCGGUAGGCGGAAGAUGCGGCGAAAGCAAAAUAUACCGACUACGCUCGUAGACGCUUAAGUGGCGAUAUCUUUGGACGUGGGUUCGACUCCCACCGUCUCCAUUU